CCUUAAUAGUCUUCACUGGACCGGACAGCAAUUCAGCGAACAUAUGGCAUCGAGUUAUUAAUACAAUAUUAAUAUGUGUAUCUUGUUUUUUCGCUACCUCAGCGUGGAGUGCGAUCCCGCAAAAGCCUGUGCGGGGGCCCCACCGCAUCAUUUCUUGCCCGAACAUGUCCCAUCUGCAGGGAAGAGAUGAGAGCAGGACUAAGGAAGAACUACCAAGAGACUGCUGGCAUUGAUAACGAUAAUGGAGAACACUGUUGACUUCAAGAAGACAGAAGUAAAGUGUGUGAAACUUCUACCUGCUCUUCCUCUCUGGAUUAUUGAAUAUGCUUGGAGUGGGAGAUUGACCGAUCUACUGAAUGUGCUGGGGCCUCCAUUGUGGCUGGAGGGAGACUGGCGCUCCCUGACCCUGGCCGAGCUGUGCAGUGUGCGUGCUGCUGCUGCUGAGGCCUGGGCGAUUCUGAGGGCCCGCGAUGUUGAACAAUAUGAGCGUGUCAUAGAGUUCCUGGAGGUCACUCUGAACCUCCUGCCUCGCCUGGUCUCCUGUAUCAAACACAUGAAGAUCGUGUUUGGCUUUAAGACACUGGUGAUCAUAUGGAUGAUUCGAAAGGACCACUGUCCUGUCAGCACCAUGGAGAAGACCAUGAAGUUCUUCCCCAGCCAACUCCCUCAGUACAGCAGAUGUUCUCGAAGACACAUGGACCUGAUGAGAAAGAAUUCAGUGGAGUUCAGAGAAUUUGUGGUGUCUCUUGCCAGAGACAAGGACAGCCGGCAAGCCUAUAUCAGAGUAAACUAAGAUCCAGUGCACGCUGUGCAUCUGUUGUUAACCCUCCUUUUUAACUAGGAACUUAUGGAGGAGCAGUAUGGUGAACAGUAUGCCCGGAAACUGGAGGAGAGGCUGGACCAUUAUUUACAAGAGCUACAGUCUGCACUACCACAACCGACAUGCCUGGACCAGGUCCUGAGGAGACAGUGGCCCAUGACAGAAGGGGAAGAAUUGUUGUUGGACCUGCUGGCCUCCAGUUCGACCAGUCUUCCUGUGACUUUGAAGAGGCUACUACAAUGUGCCUUGAGCAUUGGCAGCAGCUCUCCAAACACCACCAGUCUACCAUGUAGCCAGUGCUCUGCACAUGGAAACCUGAGCCCUGUCAUUUCUCCAGUCACUUUCAGGCAUUCCCAGCAGAGUACAAAGCCACAACUGUGCUGUCACAACUGUUGCACUGGAGACAGACACAGAAACUUCACACAAAAGCAGCCGAGCUGCUCCCAAGAGCCUCAAUCUGCCAGUUGGACCGCAGAUUCCACCCCAGAGAUUAGGCUAAGGGAGGAGGAGGGGAGUGAGAACCUCGACAGCCCGCUCCUACUUGAGGAGCAGGACUCAAACGAAUUGAUCUGGGAUCAUGGCCGAGGAGGAGAUGGAGGAGGAGAAAGAGGAGGAGCAGGAGGCCUGAGAGGAGAUUGGAAAGAAGAUGAG